CAGCAGCCGCGGUAAUACGGAGGGUGCAAGCGUUAAUCGGAAUUACUGGGCGUAAAGCGCACGCAGGCGGUCUGACAAGUCAGAUGUGAAAUCCCCGGGCUUAACCUGGGAACUGCAUUUGAAACUGUCAGGCUGGAGUCUUGUAGAGGGGGGUAGAAUUCCAGGUGUAGCGGUGAAAUGCGUAGAGAUCUGGAGGAAUACCGGUGGCGAAGGCGGCCCCCUGGACAAAGACUGACGCUCAGGUGCGAAAGCGUGGGGAGCAAACAGGAUUAGAUACCCCCGUAGUCCUGUCUCUUAUACA
rnacentral:rRNA from 1 species